AAGAAAAAGUGGAAUAGAAAAUAACUACAAAUGUGGUAGAUAUUAAUCCAAAAAUGCCAACAAUCAAUUUAAAUGUGAAUGAUCUUAACACGCUAAUUAAAAGGCAGAGACUGGGGUGCCUUGGGUGGCUCAGUCGGUUAAGUGCCCAACUCUUGAUUUUGGCUCAGGUCAUGAUCUCACGGUUUGUGAGACCGAACCCUACAUUGGGCUGUGCCCUGACAGUGCAGAACCUGCUUGGGAUUCUCUCUCUCC